rnacentral:rRNA from 1 species
UACGUAGGGGGCAAGCGUUGUCCGGAAUCAUUGGGCGUAAAGAGCGUGUAGGCGGUUCGGUAAGUCGGCUGUGAAAGUCCAGGGCUCAACCCUGGGAUGCCGGUCGAUACUGCCGGACUAGAGUUCGGAAGAGGCGAGUGGAAUUCCCGGUGUAGCGGUGAAAUGCGCAGAUAUCGGGAGGAACACCUAUGGCGAAGGCAGCUCGCUGGGACGUUACUGACGCUGAGGCGCGAAAGCGUGGGGAGCGAACGGG